UUCAAUGGGAAGUGGGUGGGACUAACCGGAAGUUGGUCAUUUGUGGCUGAUAUUGACAUGGGGUGAUCAGAAGAUGAAGAGGAGAGAGAAGUGAUCUUCGAAUCAAAGCAAGGCAGCUUUUCACAAACUCGGAUGAAUCAACUUCAGCCAGCUAUCCAGUGAGGUACCCAAAACAAUUUUUGCUCCAUCUGUACUCGAUAGGGUGCUAGUUGGCAACAGGAGGUGAGUUACAGACCAGGAAUUUGGAAGGGCGCCUUCAGCUCUGUGGCGGGAAACCAGUAAGGGGAACGUGAUGGCCAGCUCUGACCUGUGACCUCCCGACUGCUUCUCUUGAUGUUGCUCAUAAAGAAACUGAUGCUAGCUGCUUAGGAGGAAGGAGAUGUGAUGUAGAUAGGGCAUGACUCACAGCAUAGCAUGUUGAUGGUGACCCUUGACCAGCUUGGAGGGCUGAGCUAGCAGGUCAGAAUCUAUUUCUAGUGGUGUCUACUGAGAAUAUGCUUGAUCAUAUCAAAACUUAGAGGCAGAGUCUGAAGACAGUGAUGUCAGCUGUAGGUCUUUUCAAUAAAGAGCAAAAACAGCCUGGUGACAUCAAGUUCUCUCUCCUAACUCAUCAAAUAUGGCAGCUUAUACAGUGGCCCUAAGCUUCAAGCUAUGACGCUUAA